AUAUGGAGCUGUCAAAAUAAUGGGUAAUUUAUUUUUGACAAUAAUGCGUAUUUUAUGCCCAUUUCCAUGUUCCAUGUUUUUACUCAUUAAUGAGUGAAAAACAAGUUCAGUUUCAAACAAACGAUGGAAAAAGCUGUUGGCGGAAGAAUGUUCACAAAGGCUGUCAAGAACCAGGAGUUUGAGCCUUUUAUGUACACAUGCCUCAUAACCCGAAUGGAUUGGGGUAGACCCCGUUGCAAGUAUGUACCAAGCGAUUCGGACUGCUGCGGAACAUCCACCGGCACUUAUAAAACACUCCGUGAUAGGAUCAAUAUGUUGCUUACAUUCGGUUCCAAAUCUGGAGAUCCUGUGCGGUGCUUAUUUGUUUAGUCACCCGGCUACUUUUUCAAGCAAUCGAAUAACGUCGGGAAUAACCUUCGCACUGACCACAACUGUCUGGAAUAACCGUCGAGACAGCCGCUGGGAGUACUUUGACUGCCGGUGGUAGAACCGGGAAGAGAGA